rnacentral:rRNA from 1 species
GAUGAACGCUGGCGGCGUGCCUAAUACAUGCAAGUCGAGCGAACGGAUGAGAAGCUUGCUUCUCUGAUGUUAGCGGCGGACGGGUGAGUAACACGUGGAUAACCUACCUAUAAGACUGGGAUAACUUCGGGAAACCGGAGCUAAUACCGGAUAAUAUUUUGAACCGCAUGGUUCAAAAGUGAAAGACGGUCUUGCUGUCACUUAUAGAUGGAUCCGCGCUGCAUUAGCUAGUUGGUAAGGUAACGGCUUACCAAGGCAACGAUGCAUAGCCGACCUGAGAGGGUGAUCGGCCACACUGGAACUGAGACACGGUCCAGACUCCUACGGGAGGCAGCAGUAGGGAAUCUUCCGCAAUGGGCGAAAGCCUGACAGAGCAACACCGCGUGAGUGAUGAAGGUCUACGGAUCGUAAAACUCUGUUAUUAGGGAAGAACAUAUGUGUAAGUAACUGUGCACAUCUUGACGGUACCUAAUCAGAAAGCCACGGCUAACUACGUG